AUGAAAGAAAUCUCUUUUCCUCCAAUCCAUUCCCUCUCGUUCUCUCUCGCCUUCUCCCUAUACCGAGAUCGUCGGAGAAGAAGCCUCCGACGUGCCGGAAAUCACCUCGUAGUAGAGGAGACGAUGGCGAUAUGUGAUCUAGCUCCGAUCUUCAAUUUCCUUUCACCGCUCUCUUUGUCUUCCUCUUCUGAGUACUAA